GUGGGGAAUAUUGGACAAUGGGCGCAAGCCUGAUCCAGCCAUGCCGCGUGGGUGAUGAAGGCCUUAGGGUUGUAAAGCCCUUUCGGCGGGGAAGAUAAUGACGGUACCCGCAGAAGAAGCCCCGGCUAACUUUGUGCCAGCAGCCGCGGUAAUACGAAGGGGGCUAGCGUUUCUCGGAAUCAUUGGGCGUAAAGCGCAUGUAGGCGGAUUUUUAAGUCAGGGGUGAAAUCCCGGAGCUCAACUCCAGAACUGCCUUUCAUACUGGAGAUCUAGAGUCCGGGAGAGGAGAGUGGAACUCCGAGUGUAGAGGUGAAAUUCGUAGAUAUUAGCAAGCACACCAGUGACGAAGGCGGCUCUCUGGCCCGGUACAGAUGCUGAGGUACGGAAGCGUGGGCGCG
rnacentral:rRNA from 1 species